rnacentral:sRNA from 1 species
GCGAUGCCUAUUCUCCAUGCAAAUCUCCUGGUUUUUUAUUUGAAUGAGGGAUUUUGGCCACGCCUCCUGCCUUGAAAAAUGAGGCCCGUCUGCCGUGGUGGCGCUGCGGUCUUUUCAAUCGCGUCCGGAGGUGAAUUUUUUUCCGGUUGCCUCUUUUUUAAUCCUCGAGGUGUUUUUUUGUUUUGUUUUGUUUUUGCAUGGAGAUUCCUCAGUAGCCACCCCUCCAUGAAACUUGAGAAAAGAAGUAGAUUCAUGCAAUUUAGUUCAGUCUAGCAUUGAACUUGCCACGUAGCCCACACAGGUCUGGAAUUUGAAAUCAGUCGGCCUCAACCUCUCAAGUGUUGCUUACAGGUAUCACUUAAAGUUCACUAAACUAAUUGUAUUAAUCACAAGAGGUGGAGAUAAACAUCUUUGGGGGGGGGUAAUCUGUAACAGAGCAAGUACUACCAGUCAUACCCUCACACCUCAUAAACUCACGUAUCUCUGAAAUACAGAUAAUAAUUACUGUUCCACCAAACAAUUACUGACUCAGACUGUAGAAAAGAUCCUAAAUAUGCUUUUUGUAUAUCAGUAAGGGCCAGGAAAAAAAUGGGUGGGAAAUUUAAUCCCUUAAACUUAAUUUCUCCCUUAAAGUAUUUAUUCAAUAGUAAUUUAAGCAAUCACUGUGUUCCAAAACUUAAGUAGCUGUCAGGGCUGAGGAAAUCUAUACUCCCAUAGGCAGAUGUGGCUCAACUCCCAGCGGCACUCAGGGAGGAUGAGGGAGAUCUUGAGAGAACAAGGACAACCUGGGGCCAUGGGCUCCCAGAUCAUCUGGAGCUUGAGACUCUUCUCUCCAAAGAAGCUCACAGCUUUAAUUACUGUCCUGUACUUGACUCUUCAACAAAGGACAUUAAACAGGCAAACCCAAGGGAUUUAAAAUUGAAGAAGCAACCCACUGGGGACAUGAAAUAUGGUACAGUAUCCAGAAUCUUUCCAGUGCCAGCCCAUCCACAAGCUAGGCAAGGGCUCUGCUAUUAGGUGAUAGCAUCAACCCAGAAUUGCCAGAACCAUGAGAUGAACACAUCACCCCCCUCCUCCCAAAUUCUGUUCAUACCCUGUAAUCCAUAUGGCUUAAAUGUGGUGGGAUUUGUGAUCCCAGCACUCCCGAAGGCAAGGGCAUGAAAAUCCAUGACUUCAAAGCCAGCCUGGUUUACAGAGCAAGUUCUAGGAUACCCAGGGCUACAUAGAGAAACCAUGUUUCAAAAAAAAAAAAAAAAAAGAGAGAGAGAGAGAAAGGGAAAGGUGUAAUUAAGACGUAAUUAAGAUCCUAGAUUGAUUUAGAGUUGACAGGGAGAAUAUCUUGAAGUAGACUUGACUUAAUCUAACAAGAGACCUUAAAAAGAGAGACACCCAGCUAGUGUGAGUUUAAGCCAGCCUGGUCUACAGAGUGAGUUCUAAGACAGCCUUGAUUACACAGAGAAACUCUGACUCANAACAAAUGAAAAGGAAAGAGGAGGAAGGAAAGAAAGAGGAAAAGAAAGAAAACAUGAGCUCCCAUGUUCCUGCUCUAGCCCCAGGAUUCCUGUGACAAACCUGGACAUGUUGAUUGGGGCGGAUUGGAAAGACUUUGGAAUAGAGCCUCUGAGCGAUGAGAAACCAGUGAGCUGUUAUGGAGAAGCUAGAGAAAUAAGAAUGGGGCGAGCAGUGCAGAUGAUGGAGGCCUCGCUUGUAAAGUUUCUUCAGAGGGAAGCAGAGACUAUCAGGCCAUUCGUGUGAAAUAUCUGUGGUGUUCGGUGAGCUGGAGCUGAAGAACCGUCUGGGAUUAAGAAGAGACCAGCAUCAUUGAGGUGAAAUCUUUUGGGAAGUGUUUCCUUACUGUUUCAGAGGUGACCAAGAUUGUGCUGCCUCAUGCUGUCAGCCGAACUUGGUAGUUUAAAAGUCACCCAGGUGAGCCUUUAUGUAGGUCUGGGCGAAUCAAACGUAGGUUCUCCAGAAGAGCAAACAGUUUUAAACAACUGGGACAACCAGUGAACCAUCUUUCCCUACAUGUGCCUACUUUACUUCUGCUUAGUGAUGGAUCUUCUGAGACCAGAUCAUGUGCACUAGCCUACCCUGUAUAACAUCAAAAUUCAUGGUUUCAGCAAGAUUGGAUUUCACUGGUGGAGCCCAAGUAGCUCCAAGAAAACCUGGCCCUGCAGAUGCAGGCCAGCUAUGGGGUGAAGGUGCCUCUAAGACUGACUUCUGUGGGCCUCAGUCUUUCCCUGAGAGGAGAAGAGGCAGUGCUGGUCCAGAUGAGUGCAAAGAGAGGGGAAAAAGACAAACCAACCUUAUCAAAAACUCAACAGCCUCAGCACCUUGAACUGCUUACAUCUGAACAAAAAGAGCUUGAGCAAGAAACCACAGAAGUCGUGGGACAAGUCCUGUGGUCUGAAUAUAGAUUUCUGGUCUGCAGGAAGCCCCGAGGCUCUGGGUUCUUCCUGGGCUUCGGCAGGAUAGUAGGCUACAGGGUCAGUCUUGGCUGUUUCACUGGGUGAUUGUAUAAAAAGAGGAAGUGAACAACCGAAAAGAAGUCUACAGGGGAUUUGUAAAUUUCCAGGGUUUUUUUUCUUUGUGUGUGUGGAGGGGUGAUGUUUAAAUAAUAAAUGUAUGUUCUGAGCCUGGAGCACACACAAAUGCCUCAGUACCUAAAACUGAUUAAGAGGGGCUUACUUUUUAGUUUUUCAAUUGUACUGUUAUGACCAAUUUUAUGAAGGCUUCCACUACAUUUUCUCAUUUGUGGUUUUAGUUUCAGUGUGUGUUUGCUUAUGUCCUUAAUCUGCUUUGAAGGUAUUUUGUUUUAUUUUCUACCAUUAAGUCAUGUGCCCAGAACUCUCUUACUUUCUAUUAUUUUUAUUUACUUGACCUUUGUUUUUUUCUUUUUAAAUUUUUUGCCACAAGGCCUAAAAACUAUCUAAGACGGCUUUAACUCAGUGAGGCCCAGACAGCUUUGGAUUUGAAAUCCCCAGCCUCCUGGGUGUCUGGGAUUGUAAGCAUGGGCCAGCAGUCCUGACAGAUCAGAGAACAAAUGUAAAAUCUCAUCAUCACGACUCAGGACCCACUUCCUGAACCACUGAAAGGUUUAAAUAAAGUUAACCAUAGGUCAAAAGGUGGAGCAAGAAACCAGUUGAUGGAGUGAACGUAGGAAAAAAAGUAAAGAGGAGUCAGGACGAUGAAGAGAGAGAUGCACAGGAAAUGAAAGGGAAGGACGUGCAGUUUGAGGGAUUUUUGAGACAGAGAACUGCCUUUCGGGAUGUUGGCUGAGGAAGAAGGUCAGGUAGGUGUUUUCUCUCAGCUAGCAGGUUUUCACCCCAGCAUCUGGCUCUCAAGUCUCCAUUGGUAAAUCGAAUGAUUGAGACUUUGUUAACAGCAACACCCCAUAAAAUUUAUGUUCUCUACUAGCACAUUAUUGUGACUUAAUUAUCAGCACCAUUCAACAUCUGCCCUGCUGCUCUGUCAUACUUGCUGUUAUAGUUUGGGUUUCUCUUGCUGUGGUCAAACACUAUGGUCAAAAACAACUUGGGGAAGAAAGUUUCUUUCAGCUUACAGCUCUACAUUACUGUCCAUCCCUGAGGGAAGGCAGGGCCAGAACCUGGAUGGAGGAGCUGAUGAAGAGGCUAUAGAGAAUGCUACUCACUGUCUUGUUCUCCACAGCUGGCUGGCUCAACCUGCCUGAUUUCUUCUAGCACCUCGGACUACCAGGCCAGGGGUGGCCCAGCCCGCCAUGAGCUGGGCUCUCCCUCAUCAAUCAAGAAGAUGUUCCACAGGCCAAUAUGGUGGGCAUUUCGUCACUUGAAGUUCCCUUUUUACAAGUGUUCUGACUUGUGUCAAGUUGACAUAAAAUUAGUCAGCACACCACUCAAUGUGUUCUUGUAAACAUUAGGUAUUCGCCCCGUGUGGCCACACAUUGUAAUCCCAGCACUCAGGAGGCUCCAGCAAGAACAAGCCCAAGAUCCUGCGGACCUAAUUAAUGUAAUGUGUCUUGACAAUGGAUAUCUGUUUAUGAUAUCAAAAUACCUAGGAUACCUACAAUGCUUGUGGUCUGCCCUCCCCUGACCCCGGCCUAUACCAUCUUCAGUCUCCACAGCAGCUGAAGCCACCAUGUGCCAUCGGGGCCAGUCCUUCCUGUCAACACCUGAACGAUAGACUCAUAAAUAUAGACUCUGCCUAUAUCACUUCAACACUGUCUUACUGCACCUAGGAACUAAGUUAUGAUUUCCACAUUUUUCGGUCACUUUGUACCUUUCUAGUAUUGAAAAAACUCCUCUAAAUACCUGUAUUUACUAUUGAUUGGGGGUAUUUUGUGAAGUUGCAGUCUUGAGUUGUAAUUUUUUUUCCAGAAAAGAAUACAAAUCACUUCUUGUCUGUAAAAAGAUAUAAAACCUCUUAAAUUUUCUCGCAAACCUAGCAGAUACAUCAUUGUUGACUUGAAACAAGGUCUCUUGUAGCCCUGAUUGGCCUAAGACUUCCCAUGUAGCCCAGGCUGGUCUAGAGCUGAUUGUCCAGUCUCCACCUCCUAAAAGUGCUUUCAGUUCCCGAUAUACACUACCAUGCUCCUUGCAAAUGUGUUUCUGUGUGCAUUUCGGCUGGAUUUGUUCUUAUAAUUCUUUAGAUCAACUGACAUCAGCUCACUAAUGAAUCAGAACAAAUGCCAUUGGCACAUGCUCAUUCUAGACUUGUAAGAGAGCUGUGCUUUUGAAAGUUGUAUAUGUUUUGGAGAUGUGACUCAUCACUUAAGAAGAC